rnacentral:rRNA from 1 species
CUUGGUCAUUUAGAGGAAGUAACAGUCGUAACAAGGUCUCCGUUGGUGAACCAGCGGAGGGAUCAUUGCCGAGUAUCUACUCAUAACCCUUUGUGAACCAUAUUGUUGCUUCGGCGGCUCGUUCUGCGAGCCCGCCGGUCCAUCAGUCUCUCUGUUUAUACCAACGAUACUUCUGAGUGUUCUUAGCGAGCUAUUAAAACUUUUAACAACGGAUCUCUUGGCUCUAGCAUCGAUGAAGAACGCAGC